rnacentral:rRNA from 1 species
AACGAACGCUGGCGGCAUGCCUAACACACGCAAGUCGAACGAAGCCUUCGGGCUUAGUGGCGCACGGGUGCGUAACGCGUGGGAAUCUGCCCUUGGGUUCGGAAUAACAGUUAGAAAUGACUGCUAAUACCGGAUGAUGUCUUCGGACCAAAGAUUUAUCGCCCAGGGAUGAGCCCGCGUCGGAUUAGCUAGUUGGUGAGGUAAAGGCUCACCAAGGCGACGAUCCGUAGCUGGUCUGAGAGGAUGAUCAGCCACACUGGGACUGAGACACGGCCCAGACUCCUACGGGAGGCAGCAGUGGGGAAUAUUGGACAAUGGGCGAAAGCCUGAUCCAGCAAUGCCGCGUGAGUGAUGAAGGCCUUAGGGUUGUAAAGCUCUUUUACCCGGGAUGAUAAUGACAGUACCGGAAGAAUAAGCCCCGGCUAACUUCGUGCCAGCCGCCGCAGUAACAC